GCAGUUCAAAGGACAGAAAGUCCAGAUGGUCUGUGAACAAGUAGGAAGAUGCUCAUUCUCACCGGGAAGCAUAAAAGUGCACAAUCAGACAAGGAUGGCAUCAUGUGACUGUUCUGGGCAAGCUAACAAUAUUAGAGCUGAUAAUCCAGCAGUAACAGGAUGCGGCAGACAGGGACUUCCACACGACGCCCGGAGAGUAGCUGGCAGCCACUUGUGAGUGACUCAGCAAUAUUUAGUAGAAUUGAAAAUACAGUUUAAAGAAGAUCAGAGCAAUACACGUAACUGACCAAGGAUUUGUACCACCGAUACAUAAAGAGCUCUUCAGCGGUGCCUGCAGAGCCAUCUGAUGGCUGGAUUGCAGCUGUUUUCAGAUCCCACAAGAAGCCUAAAGCCGCCAGAAAGAAAACCGAGGAAUCCUUCUGUCUCCAGCUGGACGAUUCUUCAGAUGGCUGCCUUCUCGUAUCCUCGGAUCGGGGAGAGAGAAGCAAGCUCUCUCAUGUCUUCUUAUAUGGACACUAAUCCCAUCACGGGGGCUCCACUCUCAUGACCUAAUCACCUGCCUGAGGCCCCACUUCCUAAUCUCAUCACACAGGGAUGGAGCCUUCAACUUACAAAUUUUGGGGGGCACACAAACAUUCAGUCCUUGGAAGGCCUGUUGACUUCCUGUGUCUAAGCCUCGGUUUCCUCGUCUGUAACACGGCGGCAAUAUGAGCAUCCGCCUCACAGGACAGUAGUGAGGAUUAAAUGGGCUGAGCUCUGCAGCUUGCAGCUCAUGGCCCUCACUCAGGAACAGCUGGUGCCCUCUGAUGGCUAGCAUUAUACUUUUACCCCCGAUAUUUACCAGGGAGGAGGAAAAUCAAGCACAGUAAGUGCUUUAUCUAUGACCUUUCCCUCAACCUGAAGGUCAAACUCCAGGGCUUCUUGAAAAUAAGAAGAUGAUCAACAGAGAAUCAGCAGUGACAAAUACUUGUCAUGCCACAGAUUUAAAAAUCGAGGCUCAGAGAGUGACUUGCCAAAAGCCACACAGCAUGAGAUGGAGAGCAACUGGAGUCCUUCUGGUUGUGACACAUGGGACGCUAGCUCAGCGGUGCCAUGUCUGCGCCCAGGAACCAAACCCACGAAACCCUGGGCUGCCAAAGCAGAGCGUGCGAACUUAACCACUCGGCCAUGGGGCCAGCCCCACGUUAGAUCUCUUAAGCUGCACGCUGUCUCACUCCAAAAGCCACUCGCCCUCUGCACCCAACCCCACAUCCGUGCAUGACCAGCCAGGGCCAUGAAGCUCAUGUGACUCCCAGGAGAACCUGAGGUUCCGGAGAGCCAUGCCCUUACUCCUGUGGAUUGGCACGAACUCAGCCAGGAGCUCUGGGGACACCCUUGAGUGGAAGUAGUCUUGGCAUUGGCCCAUUGGAUGCCUGACUUCUUGGUUUUUCAUGCGAGGGAAGUGACUUGGAGAAAUGGUAGAUAUUACAGAAGAGACCACAGACUUUGGGGUCAGAAAGACCUGGCCUUCAGUGCUGGCUGGGUCACCAGUGGCUGUGUGACCUUGGGCAAGCGGCUUAACCUCUCUGAAUCUCAGUCUGCUCAUGAAAAAUGGGACUAACUAUGCCUACCAUAUCUGCUCUCCUGGACUGCCUGGGAGAUUGAAAUGAAACAAUAGGCGACAAAUCACUUCGCAGACUGCAAGGGGCCAUGAUGGGGAUGCUAGGGUUUCUGGUGAGUCCUGAAGUCUCAGGGGAUGGUCCCUCAGGAGGCUGGCUCUGAGGUAGUGCUGAGGCUGAGAGCAACUGAGCUUUCUCAGGUGUCACAGGGGCGCCAUCAACCAAGGACUGCAAAGAGUCCCUGAAACGUUGCAGGACGACACGUUUUAGUCAUCGUUCAGAAAGUGUUGCAAAUGGGUCAUUUUUAACUUAUUCACGCUCAUUGUUGUUGGGGUGACCAACACUGAGGGGCUUCCUGGGACACAGGCCUUUCUGUUUUAAAACCAGGACAGUCCCAGGACCUCCAGGACAAGGUGGUCUCCCUGGUUAUCGUUGUUCUUCUUCUUAUUGCUGUCAACCCUGACGUUCAGAGUCUGAGUCCACUUUGUGUCUCCCUCUGUGGCCCUCCUCAGCCCAUGCCGUCGCCUCCUGGCACCAGCAGUGUUCACUGUUUAUCAGCCCUGCACGUUUCGGUGGCGGCUUUACAGCCAGCGCCUCCUUCGACCCUCACCCUGUCCUCCUGCCACACGCAUUCCAGUUCCUGGGGGCUCUGCGGAUCCGAGGUGGAGAAUGCAUCUCUUCCCGCCCUCCCUCCCCCUGCAGGUGCCCUUGAGGGGUCCGCGACCUCUCUGUCCUCCCGGCUCCUGGAGGCACUCUGAUCCCCAAGCUGUUUCUGGGAAACGGAGCAUUUGGUCCCAGCAACAGACAACAACCACAGGCAGAGGAAAACUCUUGGGGAAAGAGAAACAUCUAAGACCCGUCUCCUCUUUCCACAAUGACAGCCUGAUGGAGGCCCAACCGUGACUCCCUUCCACCAGGCAAGUCCCCAGCACGGCCUCGGAGGCGGGGUCCACCCAGGGCCCCUACCUGCAGCCUGAGGAGCAGCAUCGCUUUAUCAGUCUGAGCGCAGAGCCCAGUGCAGCUUCACUUGGUGUAAGCAGUUAAAGCAUGAGGAUGCCCAACUUUCAGCGUUCCAAGCCCCGGCAGGGCAUGAAUUAAACAGUUGCUUUCUUGCUCUGUUUUGCUCAUUAAUUCA
ensembl:lncRNA